rnacentral:miRNA from 1 species
AAGGUGUGAUGGCAUGACACUCUG